AUUGAACGCUGGCGGCAUGCUUUACACAUGCAAGUCGAACGGUAACAGGUCCUCGGAUGCUGACGAGUGGCGAACGGGUGAGUAAUGCAUCGGAACGUGCCCAGUCGUGGGGGAUAACGCAGCGAAAGCUGUGCUAAUACCGCAUACGAUCUAUGGAUGAAAGCGGGGGACCGUAAGGCCUCGCGCGAUUGGAGCGGCCGAUGUCAGAUUAGCUAGUUGGUGGGGUAAAGGCCCACCAAGGCGACGAUCUGUAGCUGGUCUGAGAGGACGACCAGCCACACUGGGACUGAGACACGGCCCAGACUCCUACGGGAGGCAGCAGUGGGGAAUUUUGGACAAUGGGCGCAAGCCUGAUCCAGCAAUGCCGCGUGCAGGAAGAAGGCCUUCGGGUUGUAAACUGCUUUUGUACGGAACGAAACGGUCUGGGUUAAUACCCUGGGCUAAUGACGGUACCGUAAGAAUAAGCACCGGCUAACUACGUGCCAGCCGCCGCCGUAA
rnacentral:rRNA from 1 species